CUCUGCCAAGGCAAAAUUAGAAUGUGCAGCUUCUGCAGAGAGGGCGGAUUUAACCAAGCCUCCCGCUGGCUGUCCUGCCCAGGGCCUUCCAAGUGGCUGACAGGAGGUCGAGGAGAGAGAACCCAUGGCCGGUGUCCAUGACAUUCCGGACGACAAGGACAUCGUCUCUGGGCUGGCUGCUUGCUCCCCCAUACUGGGAGUAGCUGGAGGCCGGCAGGCACCAUGCUGUCCUCCAGGCUGGCUCAGAGCAUUAUCAUGGCAAAUGUCCAGCAGACCGGAUAUGGGGUGAUCAGCUGUUUGAAGGUAAAAGGUAAGAGCCAUGAAGUCGUGUUACAAGAAAAUCUGUGUUUAUUGGGACAUUGAAGAGCCUCAGCUCAUGGAUAUGUAAGGUGAAACAGGCGACUUCCUUCACUGCCUUUCUCUGGGAGCACGAUGGGCACUAAUUACCUGCUCACGGCCAAGCUGGCACCCGGCAUGAGUUGUCAGGAGCCUCCAGCCCCUUCCUGAAGCAUGGAGCCACAAUUUCCACUUCAGGUACCUCCUCUUUCCCCUCUUGAGAAGUGAAGAGGGGUGCCUGCUCCAGUAAUUCUCAGCCCCUGCUAUUCUUGUAGCCCUGGAGAACAUCGCACCUGGAAGACACCUUAGCAGUCACCUGGCUCCAUCUUCUCUGCAAUGCAACAAUCAUUUCUCCUGUAGCAUCUUGGGCAAGGAUGAGCAGAGGGCACUGGAUUUAAACUCAGAAAGCCUUUCUGAGGCUCGGUUUUCUCAUCAGCAAAAUAUGGAUUACACUACCAGCCUCAAAAUGUUGCAGUAGGGAUUAUAUGAGACCCUAUUCCAGCACAUCUUGGGAGGAAUGCACAAAGCUAGGAGGACCGCUGAGCCACAGGGAGCAGAGUACAGACUCAUCCCCACUCACUGGGGAGACAUGCCUCUUCCACGGGCAACCAUUUGCUCCGCUUAAUAGCAUGUCUUUAAUGGAUGACAAUCCCUUAAUCCUCUUAGAAAUGAGGUAAUUCCUACAUUGUUUAGGAAGAAUGGGAUGACUAUUUCACACUUAUAUAAUAGUUUGAAUAAAUGGAGUUUGUUAUAAAUAUUAA